GUCGAAGUGGCGAAAUUGGUAGACGCGCACGGUUCAGAGCCGUGUAGUCGCAAGACUAUGGAGGUUCAAGUCCUCUCUUCGGCA
rnacentral:tRNA from 1 species